rnacentral:rRNA from 1 species
GUGCCAGCAGCCGCGGUAAUACGUAGGGUGCAAGCGUUAAUCGGAAUUACUGGGCGUAAAGCGUGCGCAGGCGGUGAUGUAAGAUAGGCGUGAAAUCCCCGGGCUCAACCUGGGAACUGCGUUUAUGACUGGCAGGCUAGAGUGUAGCAGAGGGGGGUAGAAUUCCACGUGUAGCAGUGAAAUGCGUAGAGAUGUGGAGGAAUACCAAUGGCGAAGGCAGCCCCCUGGGUUAACACUGACGCUCAUGCACGAAAGCGUGGGGAGCAAACAGGAUUAGAUACCCUGGUAGUCCACGCCCUAA